rnacentral:rRNA from 1 species
AAUGCUGACAUAAGUAACGAUAAAGCGGGUGAAAAGCCCGCUCGCCGGAAGACCAAGGGUUCCUGUCCAACGUUAAUCGGGGCAGGGUGAGUCGACCCCUAAGGCGAGGCCGAAAGGCGUAGUCGAUGGGAAACGGGUUAAUAUUCCCGUACUUGGUGUUACUGCGAAGGGGGGACGGAGAAGGCUAUGUUGGCCGGGCGACGGUUGUCCCGGUUUAAGCGUGUAGGUGUGUGUUCCAGGUAAAUCCGGUUCACUUUAACACUGAGGCGUGACGACGAGGCACUACGGUGCUGAAGCAACAAAU